rnacentral:rRNA from 1 species
AUACGUAGGGUGCAAGCGUUAAUCGGAAUUACUGGGCGUAAAGCGUGCGCAGGCGGUUUUGUAAGACAGAGGCGAAAUCCCCGGGCUCAACCUGGGAACUGCCUUUGUGACUGCAAGGCUAGAGUACGGCAGAGGGGGAUGGAAUUCCGCGUGUAGCAGUGAAAUGCGUAGAUAUGCGGAGGAACACCGAUGGCGAAGGCAAUCCCCUGGGCAUGUACUGACGCUCAUGCACGAAAGCGUGGGGAGCAAACAUGAUUAGAUACCCUGGUAGUCCACGCCCUAAACGAUGUCAACUGGUUGUUGGGUCUUCAUUGACUCAGUAACGAAGCUAACGCGUGAAGUGGACCGCCUGGGGAGUACGGCCGCAAGGUUGAAACUCGAAGGAAUUGACGGGG